GCUGUGUUGUGUUAGGGUUGUCAGGAUGAUGACUGGAUUAACAUACACAAUGCUGCUCUACCCUUCCUCUGCCUCUGAAACACAUAAAAUAUUUGCAGACGACACAACAGUAGUAGGCCUGAUUACCAACAAAGAUGAGGAGGAGGUGAGGGGCCUGGCAGAGUGGUGCCAGGAAAAUAAUCUCUCUCUCAACGUCAACAAAAACGAAGGAGCUGAUUGUGGACUUCAGGAAACAGCAAAGGGAGCACCCCCCCAUCCACAUCGACAGGACCACAGUGGAGAAGGACAUGUUCAGGUUUCUCUGCUUACACAUCACUGACAAUCUGAAAUGGUCCACCCUCAGAGACAGUGCCGUGAAGAAGGCGCAACAGCGCCUCUUCAACCUCAAGAGGCUGAAAAGAUUUGGCUUGGCCCUUAAGACCCUCAUAAACUUUUACAGAUGCACAAUUGAGAUCAUCUUGUCAGGCUGUAUCACCACCCGCAACCGCAUGGCUCUCCAGAGGGUGGUACAGUCUGCCCAGUUCAUCCCGCUAUCAUCCAGAAGGCAAGUCUCCAAUUCUAGUCUCCUGCAGCGUAAUGAAGUGAAGAACACAACCCAGGGGGAAGAAGGAGGCAGAGGUGCUGAGGAGAGGAUGUGGUAAACACACAGGGAAAUACAAAAAACACACACCACAUAUUUAAGACAUUGGGUACCAGAGAGAGAGAGAGAGAGAGAGAGAGAGAGAGAGAGAGAGAGAGAGAGAGAGAGAGAGAGAGAGAGAGAGAGAGAGAGAGAGAGAGAGAGAGAGAGAGAGAGAGAGAGAGAGAGAGAAAGAGAGAGAGAUAGAACACGCCCUCUACAGGAUGCAACCGGGAACUGCAAUCAAACAUUGACAUGCUUCUCCAUUGACAUUAUUCUUUUUCUUCAUACCAGUUAAACAUUAUCAGAGACCUGAGGCCUCCACCCUCCCUAUCCUCCCUAGCAACGAGAUGAUUCCAAAAACAAGAGGGUGAUAACAAUACAUAACACAACAGUCAGCUAUGGGCUGGACAGGCUGGGGAGUUCAACUCCCUCUUGUUCUCUAAUAGGACUGACGCAGGGUCCUUCAGCCUUCACAGCAAAGGAAGACAACCUUGGCCUUG